rnacentral:rRNA from 1 species
GUGCCAGCAGCCGCGGUAAUACGGAGGGUGCGAGCGUUAAUCGGAAUUACUGGGCGUAAAGCGCAUGCAGGCGGCCGUGUUAAGUUCAGAUGUGAAAGACCCGGGGCGUUAACCUCCGGAAUUGCAUUUGUAAACUAGGCAGGCUAGAGUCUUGUAGAGGGGGGUAGGGAAGUUUACUAGGUGUAGCGGUGAAAUAGCGUAGAGAUCUGAAGGAAUACCAGUGGCGAAGGCGGCCCCCUCGGACAAAGACUGACGCUCAGAUGCGAAAGCGUGGGGAGCAAACAGGAUUAGAUACCCCUGGUAG